UAGCAAUCAACCCCUGCUGUGAGUGCCGUUAUAUGAUGGCCAGAGGUCAAAGGAAUGCCUGAAAUAUUUCUGAGAUUGGACAGUGUGUUAUUUUUAGAGUUGUGGAAUGAGAGGGGAAAAAGUUGAGAGCUUUACAAGUAGGUCAGCUGCAGCAUUGCUUCAUAUCUCUUUCAGUAUUAUUACCAUCCUGCAGCCCAACUUUUAAUCCAGCUUGAGCUGCACCAAUUGCACGUUCACGGACACUUUUAUUGUAGUCGAAACUGCUUACAGAACCAAAACUGAGCUUCAGCAAAUACCUGAAAGACUUUCAGAAGGGAACGAUGGCCAACAGUGCUCUGUGGGCUUGUGCUGCAUUCCCAGGCUGCGUGUUGCUGACGGCGUUCUGAUGCUGCUGUGUUCUUCUCCAGGAGGAUUAGACACUUCCUGAAUUACAUGUUGUCGGUCAUGAGGAGAUUU
ensembl:lncRNA